GACGAACGCUGGCGGCGUGCCUAAUACAUGCAAGUCGAACGCAUUUUCUUUCACCGUAGCUUGCUACACCGAAAGAAAAUGAGUGGCGAACGGGUGAGUAACACGUGGGUAACCUGCCCAUCAGCGGGGGAUAACACUUGGAAACAGGUGCUAAUACCGCAUAAUUCCAUUUACCGCAUGGUAGAUGGGUGAAAGGCGCUUUUGCGUCACUGAUGGAUGGACCCGCGGUGCAUUAGCUAGUUGGUGGGGUAACGGCCUACCAAGGCUGCGAUGCAUAGCCGACCUGAGAGGGUGAUCGGCCACACUGGGACUGAGACACGGCCCAGACUCCUACGGGAGGCAGCAGUAGGGAAUCUUCGGCAAUGGACGCAAGUCUGACCGAGCAACGCCGCGGGAGUGAAGAAGGUUGUCGGAUCGUAAAACUCUGUUGUUAGAGAAGAACAAGGAUGAGAGUGGAAAGUUCAUCCCUUGACGGUAUCUAACCAGAAAGCCACGGCUAACUACGUG
rnacentral:rRNA from 1 species